AUUGAACGCUGGCGGCAUGCCUUACACAUGCAAGUCGAACGGCAGCACGGGAGCAAUCCUGGUGGCGAGUGGCGAACGGGUGAGUAAAGUAUCGGAACGUGCCCAGUCGUGGGGGUUAACGUAGCGAAAGUUACGCUAAUACCGCAUACGAUCUAUGGAUGAAAGCGGGGGAUCGCAAGACCUCGCGCGAUUGGAGCGGCCGAUAUCAGAUUAGGUAGUUGGUGGGGUAAAGGCUCACCAAGCCGACGAUCUGUAGCUGGUCUGAGAGGACGACCAGCCACACUGGGACUGAGACACGGCCCAGACUCCUACGGGAGGCAGCAGUGGGGAAUUUUGGACAAUGGGCGAAAGCCUGAUCCAGCCAUGCCGUGUGCAGGAUGAAGGCCUUCGGGUUGUAAACUGCUUUUGUACGGAACGAAAAGGUUUGGCCUAAUAAGCUGAGCUCAUGACGGUACCGUAAGAAUAAGCACCGGCUAACUACGUGCCAGCAGCCGCAGUAA
rnacentral:rRNA from 1 species